CCUACGGGAGUCAGCAGUGAGGAAUAUUGGUCAAUGGACGAGAGUCUGAACCAGCCAAGUAGCGUGAAGGAUGACUGCCCUAUGGGUUGUAAACUUCUUUUAUAUGGGAAUAAAACGUUCCACGUGUGGGAUUUUGUAUGUACCAUAUGAAUAAGGAUCGGCUAACUCCGUGCCAGCAGCCGCGGUAAUACGGAGGAUCCGAGCGUUAUCCGGAUUUAUUGGGUUUAAAGGGAGCGUAGGUGGAUUGGUAAGUCAGUUGUGAAAGUUUGCGGCUCAACCGGAAAAUUGCAGUUGAAACUGGCAGUCUUGAGUACAGUAGAGGUGGGCGGAAUGCGUGGUGUAGCGGUGAAAUGCUUAGAUAUCACGAAGAACUCCGAUUGCGAAGGCAGUUCACUGGACUGCAACUGACACUGAGGCUCGAAAGUGUGGGUAUCAAACAGGAUUAGAUACCCUUGUAGUC
rnacentral:rRNA from 1 species